rnacentral:lncRNA from 12 species
CAGGGGCCGGGAGUGCGGGGGGCGCGGCAGGCCGGGUGAGCGCGGGUCCCCAGAGGAGCUGCUGCCGCUCCGCCCAGCCCGCUGGCCCCUGUGGGAUCCUGGGCCCGCGCAGCCGAGGUUCGGCGGUGCCCGAGACACAUUAUGAAUCUGGGUUAUGUGCUUGGUUUAGACGUAGUGUAGACCAACAUUUAAAAACAGGUACCGGGGCCCCCGGGUGGCUCAGUCGCUUGAGCGUCCGGCUCCUGACUUGCUCAGGGCCCUGAGGUGGAGCCGGUGCCAGGAUCCCCUGGAGAGCCUCCCUCCCCUCCCCCGGCUCCUCCCCACUCACAUAAAUAAAUGAAUCUUUUUUUAAAGAGUUAAAAUAAAUAAAAACAGGUACGCGGCCAGCUUGGGCCCUCCGCUUGCCAGUUUGUACCCGUUGCUCUAAACGCCCGGACUCUCAGAGCCCCGGGUCCUCCCGGAUGCCCGACUGUCCCCUGUGCACGUUGCCAUCCGGGCCGGAUGGUCCCCUUCGCUGGGCUGAGGCUGUUUCCAAGCCACUGCCUUCGACAGAGGGGGUAGUAAUUACACUCUGACAUUAAUAUUUAAACCACAAACAGAGUUAGCGCGCUAAUACCGUCCCCGAAGGCUCCGGACUUGUUUAAGUUUUAUCCUUGUGAGACCUAAUUAUUGUCAGCAAUGAAUCCUGUAAGGCUGCAGGAUCGGGGCGGGGGGAGAGGCGCUGCCAGACCCCUGGGGCCUGCGACUUACGGGGCCGAGGCGCAGGGAGGCCUGAGUCCUGCUGGAAGGUGGGGGCCAGGAGGUCCAGGAGGUCCAGGAGGCCUGCCUUAGGGUCCCGCCCUGCCCACACACCUGCUGGGGGAGGUGGGGAGUCACUUGGCUUCCCCUCUGUAGGGUGGGAUCGUAGGGUCAUUUCCGGGCUCGGGCUGGAGGGAGGGUCAGGCCGGCAUGCGCGGGGCUGGGUGAGUGGUAGCUGCUGACCUUGUUUUAUCGCUACAGGGUCCCUCCCGAGGGGCCCAUCCUCCGUGCCCAGGACAGGUGCCGGGGCAGAGCCAGUGCCUCAACCCUCCCGCCCGCGAUCCCCACUGGGCCCUGCUGUCUCUCCGAGCCUCCCCCUGCCAGGCCCGUCCUCCCGACCCAGAAUGCCUCCGCGCUCCCAGCUUCCCUGCAGAUCGGUCGCAGGCUGAUUCAAAAUGCACAACCCCCUGGCUCGGCGGCUUCCUCCGAGGUGUGCGUGGCGAGGGGCAGCGGGGCGGCAGGCGGCUCAGGACGGAGUGAGGCCGAUGUGCCGCGUGGAGCCAGCCCCGGGGCCGCGGGGGACCGG